UUGUCCUACGGGAGGCAGCAGUGGGGAAUAUUGCGCAAUGGGGGAAACCCUGACGCAGCAACGCCGCGUGAGUGAGGAAGUAUCUCGGUAUGUAAAGCUCUAUCAGCGGGGAAGAAGGAAGACGGUACCCGACUAAGAAGCCCCGGCUAACUACGUGCCAGCAGCCGCGGUAAUACGUAGGGGGCGAGCGUUAUCCGGAUUUACUGGGUGUAAAGGGAGCGUAGACGGCGUCGCAAGUCUGAAGUGAAAGCCCGUGGCUCAACCGCGGAACCGCUUUGGAAACUGCGAGGCUGGAGUGCUGGAGG
rnacentral:rRNA from 1 species